rnacentral:rRNA from 1 species
UACGCAGGGGGCUAGCGUUGUUCGGAAUCACUGGGCGUAAAGGGCGCGUAGGCGGCUUUAUAAGUCGGGGGUGAAAGCCUGUGGCUCAACCACAGAAUUGCCUUCGAUACUGAGAGUCUCGAGUCCGGGAGAGGUGAGUGGAACUGCGAGUGUAGAGGUGAAAUUCGUAGAUAUUCGCAAGAACACCAGUGGCGAAGGCGGCUCACUGGCCCGGUACUGACGCUGAGGUGCGAAAGCGUGGGGAGCAAACAGG